rnacentral:rRNA from 1 species
CACUCCUACGGGAGGCAGCAGUGGGGAAUAUUGGACAAUGGGCGCAAGCCUGAUCCAGCCAUGCCGCGUGAGUGAUGAAGGCCCUAGGGUUGUAAAGCUCUUUCACCGGUGAAGAUAAUGACGGUAACCGGAGAAGAAGCCCCGGCUAACUUCGUGCCAGCAGCCGCGGUAAUACGAAGGGGGCUAGCGUUGUUCGGAUUUACUGGGCGUAAAGCGCACGUAGGCGGACUAUUAAGUCAGGGGUGAAAUCCCGGGGCUCAACCCCGGAACUGCCUUUGAUACUGGUAGUCUUGAGUUCGAGAGAGGUGAGUGGAAUUCCGAGUGUAGAGGUGAAAUUCGUAGAUAUUCGGAGGAACACCAGUGGCGAAGGCGGCUCACUGGCUCGAUACUGACGCUGAGGUGCGAAAGCGUGGGGAGCAAACAGGAUUAGAAACCCUAGUAGUCCCAUG